rnacentral:tRNA from 1 species
AGGAUUAUAGUUUAUACAAAUAAAACAUUUGAUUUGCACUCAAAAAAUAUUGAAAACUCAAUUUAUCUU